UACAGAGGUCCCAAGCGUUGUUCGGAUUCACUGGGCGUAAAGGGUGCGUAGGCGGUCGGGUAAGUCUGAUGUGAAAUCUCACAGCUUAACUGUGAAACUGCAUUGGAUACUAUCCGGCUCGAGGAAUGGAGGGAGACUGGAAUACUUGGUGUAGCAGUGAAAUGCGUAGAUAUCAAGUGGAACACCAGUGGCGAAGGCGAGUCUCUGGACAUUUCCUGACGCUGAGGCACGAAAGCCAGGGGGGAGCAAACGGG
rnacentral:rRNA from 1 species